rnacentral:lncRNA from 1 species
GCUGAGAGUGCUGAGGGCACAUCUGAAACCACUGGAGGUUGGCGACGUGGAGGUCAGGUAGUAGUGCUCUCCCACCAGGAGUCCCUCUGCACACCUGGAGAGAGCAGUCAUUAUGCAGGACAACCCAUCUGCUCAGAACUUUCAGUGGUGACUUGUGACGGAUGCGUGGCCAGCCUCAGGUUGUUAAAUGUUAGGGUGAUCCGCCUUCCCUCCAGGGCGGUGAUUCUCCACUCGCAGAUCCGGCCAUGAGGAUUUGGGUUCGGGUAGUUGGGAGAAGUAAAUGUUCCAACAGAGCCCUGAAGAUCCCCACCACACUCUGA